UACAGAGGGUGCAAGCGUUGUUCGGAAUUAUUGGGCGUAAAGGGAGUGUAGGCGGCUUGUUAAGUCUUCUGUGAAAUCUACGGGCUCAGCCUGUAACGUGCAGAGGAAACUGGCGAGCUUGAGUGUCGGAGGGGGUGGCGGAAUUCCCGGUGUAGAGGUGAAAUUCGUAGAUAUCCGAAGGAAUACCAAAGGCGAAGGCAGUGUCCUGGCUGGCAACUGACGCUGAGGCGCGAAAGCUAGGGGAGCGAACAGG
rnacentral:rRNA from 1 species